rnacentral:rRNA from 1 species
UACGGGGGGGGCAAGCGUUGUUCGGAUUUACUGGGCGUAAAGGGCGCGUAGGCGGCCACCGCAAGUCGACUGUGAAAUCUCCGGGCUUAACCCGGAAAGGUCAGCCGAUACUGCGGGGCUAGAGUGCAGAAGGGGCAACUGGAAUUCUCGGUGUAGCGGUGAAAUGCGUAGAUAUCGAGAGGAACACCUGCGGCAAAGGCGGGUUGCUGGGCUGACACUGACGCUGAUGUGCGAAAGCUAGGGGAGCGAACGGG